AACGCGAAGAACCUUACCUGGAUUUGACAUCCUCGGACAACCCUAGAGAUAGGGCUUUUGUAGCAAUACAACCGAGAGACAGGUGCUGCAUGGCUGUCGUCAGCUCGUGUGGUGACAUGUUGGGUUAAGUCCCGCAACGAGCGCAACCCUUGUCCUUAGUUGCCAGCAUUCAGUUGGGCUCUCUAAGGAGACUGCCGUGGUUAACACGGAGGAAGGUGGGGAUGACGUCAAGUCCUCAUGGCCUUUAUAUCCAGGGCGACACACGUGAUACAAUGGUUGGUACAGAGGGAAGCGAAACCGCGAGGUGGAGCCAAUCUCAAAAAGCCAAUCUCAGUUCGGAUUGGAGUCUGCAACUCGACUCCAUGAAGUUGGAAUCGCUAGUAAUCGCGGAUCAGCACGCCGCGGUGAAUACGUUCCCGGGCCUUGUACACACCGAGACGAC
rnacentral:rRNA from 1 species